AACGACACCAGGCUGCGGCAGACGGAGGUUCUGAAGAGGGACUUCAGCAGCCUGAUCGAGACGGUUCGCAGCACGUCGCCCGCGACGAGGAUCAUCGUGUCAGGACCGCUUCCCACGUAUCGACGUGGGCACGAAAAGUUCAGUAGACUUCUUGCUCUAAAUGAAUGGUUACUGACAUGGUGUAAAGAACAGAAACUGCUCUUUGUUAAUAAUUGGAAUCUUUUCUGGGAACGUCCUAGGCUUUUCCGUGCGGAUGGCCUGCACCCCAGCAGAGUCGGAGCGGAGCUGCUGUCGGACAACAUCUCCAGGACGCUACGCUCCAUUUGACUAGAAUUCACAAGCUCCAGUGUGGAUCCAGAACACUUAAGAAGAGAUGAUGCCAACCCCACAGAGGACUUCAGAUGAUGCCAACCCUGAAAACAUACAGCACUACCGAAUUCUGCUACUAAUUUAUAGUGUUCUUUGUCUGUUUGAUUACGUCAUUAAUUGAUCUUUACCACACAUCUCUGCCAUAUGUGCAUCAAGCUACUACUACAUAUAUUGUAAAAAUGUCAAUUUGGUGUAAAGCUGCUUUGCAACGAUAUGUAUCGUGAAAAGCGCUAUACAAAUAAAUUUGAAUUGAAUUGAAUUGAACUAAGAUUAAUAAAUGCUAAUAAAAGCAGUUAA